rnacentral:rRNA from 1 species
GACGAACGCUGGCGGCGUGCUUAACACAUGCAAGUCGAACGGAAAGGCCCUGCUUUUGUGGGGUGCUCGAGUGGCGAACGGGUGAGUAACACGUGAGUAACCUGCCCUUGACUUUGGGAUAACUUCAGGAAACUGGGGCUAAUACCGGAUAGGAGCUCCGGCUGCAUGGUGGGGGUUGGAAAGUUUCGGCGGUUGGGGAUGGACUCGCGGCUUAUCAGCUUGUUGGUGGGGUAGUGGCUUACCAAGGCUUUGACGGGUAGCCGGCCUGAGAGGGUGACCGGCCACAAGGGGACUGAGAUACGGCCCAGACUCCUACGGGAGGCAGCAGUGGGGAAUAUUGCACAAUGGGCGGAAGCCUGAUGCAGCAACGCCGCGUGCGGGAUGACGGCCUUCGGGUUGUAAACCGCUUUCGCCUGUGACGAAGCGUGAGUGACGGUAAUGGGUAAAGAAGCACCGGCUAACUACGUG